UAAUAUGAUGAAGUCCACUUCUUCCAAUUAGCUCGUCAACAGCUCCAAAUCACUUGAAAACAACACAAAUAUGCAACAUGCAUGCAAAACUAUCCUAAACAUGCAAAGUGAUGACAAAUGAUGAGAAAUAGUAUAAAACAGUGGUGAUAUGAUGCUAAAGUGAUGACAAAUGGAUGCUCAAAACAUGUAAAAUGCACACUUAUCAACUCCCCCAAAUUUAGUCUUUGCUUGCCCUCAAGCAAACAAUAAAGAACAAGCUGGAGGUGAGGUUUGAAAGUGGGGACUCAGAGCAAAAGCACCAGAUAAAUUAGAUGAAAUCAAUGUCCAAGUUGGUAGUUCUAAGCUCCGAUAUGAUCGAAUCCUACUAAAAAACGUUAGCCAUGCCUUGUUUAUUAAUCAAUCCGCCUCUUAUGCUUGACC
rnacentral:sRNA from 1 species